AUCCAGUUGGUGAGUCCCAAAUGGGACGAAAUGCACAUCCUAGCUGGAU
rfam:Trichobilharzia regenti genome assembly, scaffold: TRE_scaffold0003494